UCUCUGAUAGUAUAUCGGUUAGUACACGCGCCUGUCAUUCAAUUCCUUGCGUUGAUGAUUAUUCGCGCGAAAGCUGGGUUCGACUCCCAGUCAGAGAG